UACAGAGGUCUCAAGCGUUGUUCGGAUUCAUUGGGCGUAAAGGGUGCGUAGGUGGCAUGGUAAGUCGGAUGUGAAAUCCCGGGGCUCAACCCCGGAACUGCAUUCGAUACUGCUGCGCUAGAGUACUGGAGAGGAGAUUGGAAUUUACGGUGUAGCAGUGAAAUGCGUAGAUAUCGUAAGGAAGACCAGUGGCGAAGGCGGAUCUCUGGACAGUUACUGACACUGAGGCACGAAGGCCAGGGGAGCAAACAGG
rnacentral:rRNA from 1 species